CACAUUCAAAAAAGAAACUUCCAAAAGGGAUGUGAAGGUUAUAAAGGUUGAGAGAUAUAAAAGCUUAAGUCGUUUAUCUAAGAAAAUGUUUUAAGGUCUAAAACGAUAGUUUUAGGAUGGUAAUACAAAUUAUGAUAGGAAGUGGUUUAGGUAUAAAACUUCAGAUUCAUCAAGAUAUGUAGCUAGAGUUUUCCUGCCUGGCCCACAGUCAGGACAAAUCUCUGUCACCCGCCAGUCCCACAGCCACUCAGACCCAACCAAGUAAACACAGAGACUUACAUUUCUUAUAAACUGUAUGGUCAUGGCAGGCUUCUUGCUAACUGUUCUUAUAUCUUAAAUUAAUCUAUUUCUAUAAAUCUAUACCUUGCCAUGUGGCUUGUGGCUUACUGGCAUCUUCACAUGCUGCUUGUCAUGGCGGUGGCUGGCAGUGUCUCCCCCCACCUUCCUGUUCUCUCAAUUCUCCUCUCUGUUAGUCCUGCCUAUACUUCCUGCCUGGCCACUGGCCAAUCAAUGUUUUAUUUAUUGACCAAUCAGAGCACACAUUUGACAUACAGACCAUCCCACAGCAAAGAUAGGAUAGAUAAUAGAAUAUUUUCUCCAAAUAUGCCAAAUACAAAUGGACUGGACAUUGUUAAUGUAGUUCUUACCUGAUAAUUGUUCUUAUUGUAUAUAGUUUUACUAUGUUAGAGUUAAAACCCUUCCUUUUUAUUUAGACUAAAAGGGGGAAAUGUUGUAGGAUAAUCUUUUUAUACACUGUGAAGAUAUAUCUUUGCCAAGGUGCCUUCUGAUUGGUUUAAUAAAGAGCUGAAUGGCCAAUAGCUGGGCAGGAGAGGAUAGGUGGGAUUCCCAGGGAGAGAGAGGAAGAGGAAAAGGAAUCUAGGUGCAGCAAAUUUCACCAGCAGACUUGGAGCAAGUCUAAGGAGAGGUAACUGAGCCACGUGGCAGAAUGUAGAUUAAAAAAUAUGGGUUAAUUCGGUUAUAAGAGCUAAUUGGAAAUAAGCCUAAGCUAAAGGCCAAGCUUUCAUAAUUAAUAAGAAGUCUCUGUGUCAUUAUUUGGGAGCUGGUGAUCCAAAGUAGGUCCAACAACAUAGAAGUAUCAAGAUCAUUGGAAAAAUGGCAAUAGUAACUGAUAGACUAGACAAUUUCCUUGCUUAAACUCUGUGGAAACCCAGAGACUAUAAAAUAUUUGGUUGCCAACAUUAGGGGUGCACAUGCAGGAGAACUAUGGUGCUUAUAGGGGAAUCGGAAAAUAAAGAAGGCUUCUGAACCACUAGAAAUGGAAAGUGGGCUCAGUGUUCAUUCUGGAGGGUUGGUAAAGAUCAAAGUUUGAGAUGGGACUUUUAGAGAAGGGUUAGGCUGGAGUUGAGGAUCUGUUUGUAAAGCACAGCAGAAUUGUGAGCUAGGAUGUGUAUGCAGAGAGACAAAGAGACCAGGAGCACAUAGUGGACACUCAGCCUAGCAAGAACUCAGCACCAGAUCCUUGAAUGGGCAAGAUUGGGAAUUUCCGUACCAGUCUUUGCUGUGAAGGCCAUUUAUAUCUCAUUUUAAUUUAGUGGCUGGAGAUGGCCAGGAGCACUUCUGCACAAAUGGGCAGAACCAUUAAGGGCUUUAGAAGUAUUUCCCCUCUGAUAAGAUGGAAAAUGCACGUGUUCACCUGGUACCUGGUAGAGGCCCCUAGGACUGUGCCUGGACCCAGCAUGGGAGUGCUAAUAGCCCUUAAAGAAACAUUAUCAGGAGGACUGGGGUAAAGAAGAAUGUAAGAAAGCUGGGUAGGAAUGACAUUGUAUGGAGAUAAUGCAAAGGGCAGGAGAGGAUGGGAACACUGUGGGGUGACUUCACAGGGACUUUUGGGGUGCCAGGUCUGAAAGGAGGGCAAUGGUGACUGAAGCAAGUUUGUAGAUAAAAAUACUGUGUGACUAACUGCUUUGUAUAUGUGUUAUACAGUGGGUAAGAGAGGAGGUUUGGGAUAUGAGAGGGCCUAAGAGGGGGUAAGGACACUGGGAUCAAAAUAGGCAUUCACUUCUCUGCCUCAGAUCCAGUGGGAGGCGGAGCAGACACCUUCUCACACUGAAGAUGCUCAUGCUUUCAAGUCCAUCAGGACUUCCAUCCAGAGACUCGGGGCUUCUGGGGCAAGUAACCUCCUCAAACUUAGAGCUUAUUAGACUUUCUUUGUAAACAAUUUUUGCCACCCAGGAACAAGGACAGGCAGGAACUUACCUCUGGAUGCAAACAGUGUGGAAAGAGCAGAAUAGCUCACGCUUGCCACACUCAACUGCUUACACAAAUGAGGUUUUGUGGUUUUUCCUAAGUCUCUCCAGACUCUGUCCUCACCACCAUAAUCACCCAGCCAUCCAGCUCUCAAGGUGCCUCUGGAAAGUUCUCAGUGUAUCGUCUCGGUUCACCUAUGUUCAAAAUGGAACAGGGUGAGUGAAUGAGCAGCUCCCUAACUCAUCUGUCUCCGGCUUUGGCCACCUGUAGGUCCAUUCACCAUGAGACUGACAUCCCAAUGAUCUAACUAAAGCUCAGUCUGAUCUAUUUAAAGUCCUUCUUUGAUACUUACAGGAUCAAGUCCAAACAACUUCGCUUGGCAUACAAAGCCCUGCUGUGACUCAAUUGUAGCAUUCCCACAAACCUUGCAGACAUUUGGCCUCCCUGCGGCCUCCAGCCACAGCGAACUUCUUCCAGGUCUAUGAUACUUGAGAUGCAUCACUUUGUAGCUGGCUCAAGAUACUUCUUCCUGUAACACUGCUCUCUGUUCCAUGCCUACCUCUGUAACAUCAGGGCGUCAUCUGCAGCAGGCACAUUCUCAUCUGUGAGCGACACCCUCGACCCCUCAGUAGUCACACCGAGGUGACUUCACAGAGAAUGGUUGCAGUCAAUCAUCGAGGGAAGGCGAGGCAGGAACUCAAGGCAGGAACCUGAAGGCAGGAACUGAAGCAGAGACCAAGAGUUAAUGAAUGAUUUACACCCACUUCUUGGACAUGGAAGUGGCGGAGCCCAAGAGAGGAUAUGCAAGGAUACGUCACGAAGACAGACUGGCUGGUAUGUAGAGACACACAGCUCCUUAUGGUGGUAAUGCUCAUCUUUGUCGUGCCGCAUCACAGAGCCUCUGGAGCUGCCUGUCAGGUAUGUGCAAGGAAUUGUGGUCAGAUCCUUCUCCCCUUACUGUGGACACUUGUGGGCUCAACAUUGCUGUCUAACUGCAGGGCUCUUAAAGUUCUUCUGUGGGAACAGCUCUUCUUCCACGUGGGAGCAUGUCUGUACAGGACAUGAAGAGUUAAGCUAAUGGUCGGUAAAAUUUAGGAACUCAUAAUUUACAGCUUCACUGGUGUGUGUGCAAACCGUUGGAAAUCAGAAUGGUGAGUACAUGGGGCAGAGGAGUGACUGUGCACGGGCACCAGGUGACCCUUGGGUCUACUGCUCGAUGCAGACGCUGGUUGUGUGAGCAUGCUCACUUAGUGGGAAUUGACUGAGUUUGUAAAUUUAAAAUUUGGACAGUUUUCUGUGCAUGCGUAUCAUACUUCAGUGAUGCUUACCAAAAGAAAGAAACAAUGUUUUCUUUAGAAGAGUCCUACUUGUUCUUUCUGUAGUGACGCUCUUAGUUUUGAAAUUUGGAGUCUGUAAGCAGGGCAGUCUGUGUGGACUUUGUUGGGUUAGCAUGUGCACUUAUGUAAGCAUGUGCACUAAUGUAAGCAUGUGCACUAAUGUAAACAUGUGCACUAAUGUAAGUGCACUAAUGUAAGCCUGUGCACUAAUGUAAGCAUGUGCACUAAUGUAAGCAUGUGCACUUAUGUAAGCAUGUGAACUAAUGUAAGCUUGUGCACUAAUGUAAGCAUGUGCACUAAUGUAAGCAUGUGCACUAAUGUAAGUGCACUAAUGUAAGCCUGUGCACUAAUGUAAGCAUGUGCACUAAUGUAAGCAUGUGCACUUAUGUAAGCAUGUGCACUAAUGUAAGCUUGUGCACUAAUGUAAGCAUGUGCACUAAUGUAAGCAUGUGCACUUAUGUAAGCUUGUGCACUAAUGUAAGCAUGUGCACUAAUGUAAGCAUGUGCACUAAUGUAAGCAUGUGCACUUAUGUAAGCAUGUGCACUAAUGUAAGCAUGUGCACUAAUGUAAGCAUGUGCACUAAUGUAAGCAUGUGCACUAAUGUAAGCAUGCAUGGCCAGACCUUGGGUAGGGAGAAAUAUUUAUAUUCUUUUUU